rnacentral:rRNA from 1 species
GAUGAACGCUGGCGGCGUGCCUAACACAUGCAAGUCGAACGGAAAGGCCCUGCUUUUGUGGGGUUCUCGAGUGGCGAACGGGUGAGUAACGCGUGAGUAACCUGCCCUUCAUUUUGGUAUAACUUCAGGAAACUGGGGCUAAUCCCGUACUGCAUCUCCUCCUCCAUGGUGGGCGUUGGAAAUUCUCGGCUGGUGGGGAUGGACUCGCGGCUUAUCAGCUUGUUGGUGGGGUAGGGGCUUACCAAGGCUUUGACGGGUAGCCGGCAUGAGAGGGUGACCGGCCACAUUGGGACUGAGAGACGGCCCAGACUCCUACGGGAGGCAGCAGUGGGGAAUAUUGCACAAUGGGCGAAAGCCUGAUGCAGCGACGCCGCGUGCGGGAUGGCGGCCUUCGGGUUGUAAACAGCUUUCGGCUGUGACGAAGCGUGAGUGACGGUAAUGGGAGAAGAAGCACCGGCUAACUACGUG